rnacentral:rRNA from 1 species
GGGGAAUAUUGCGCAAUGGGCGAAAGCCUGACGCAGCCAUACCGCGUGUGUGAAGAAGGCCUUCGGGUUGUAAAGCACUUUCAGUGGGGGGGAAAAGCUGGUGGCUAAUAUCCAUCGGCCGUGACGCUACCCACAGAAGAAGCACCGGCUAAUUCCGUGCCAGCAGCCGCGGUAAUACGGAAGGUGCGAGCGUUAAUCGGAAUUACUGGGCGUAAAGCGCACGUAGGUGGCUUGGUAAGUCGGAUGUGAAAGCCCCGGGCUCAACCUGGGAACUGCAUUCGAUACUGCUGAGCUAGAGUACGAAAGAGGGGGGUGGAAUUCCAGGUGUAGCGGUGAAAUGCGUAGAGAUCUGGAGGAACACCAGUGGCGAAGGCGGCCCCCUGGUUCGAUACUGACGCUGAGGUACGAAAGCGUGGGGAGCAAAC